rnacentral:lncRNA from 1 species
AGCACAGGGACAGAGUCAUGACUCCAUGGGGUGAGCAGAGAAGCGCACCUCUGACCUAAGGAGGAUGGACACAAAAGCAUAAUACUGACGAUUCUCGUGUUUAAAUGAUGAAAAAUUCUAGGUUAAAGAAGAGUAAGUCUUCCAACUCUACUAUAAGAUGGCUGAGAUCACAUCACUAAGUGGAUCAAAUAUUUAAACAUGAGACUCAACGCUGUGGAGAGCACAAGAGGAACAGCCUAGGACGUCUGUGCAAAGAAACAGGAAUGAGAAAUGGAAUUGUAGAAGACCGAAGAUUCAGGCUGGGGAGAUGUUAAGUUAAAUACUUGUCACAUAACCAUGAGGUUUUGCAUUUGAAUCUUCAGCACCAAUAUGAAAAGCUGGCAUGGUGAUACAUGCCUGUAACCUCUGAGCUUGGUAGAUAGGGCAAGUGAAGACAAGAGGAUUGCUGGAGUAUCUAAAGCAUGACCCAGGAGGCAGAGGCAGAAAGACC